UACGGAGGGUGCAAGCGUUGUUCGGAUUUACUGGGCGUAAAGCGCGCGCAGGUGGGUGAACAAGUCGGAAGUGAAAUCUUGAGGCUCAACCUCGAGGCUGCUCCCGAAACUGUUCGCCUAGGGACUGGUAGAGGCUGGUAGAAUUCCCGGUGUAGCGGUGGAAUGCGUAGAGAUCGGGAAGAACACCUGCGGCGAAGGCGGGUUGCUGGGCUGACACUGACGCUGAACUGCGAAAGCUAGGGGAGCGAACGGG
rnacentral:rRNA from 1 species